AUGAUGUUAUUUUGUGAAAUUUCUAUCUUUUGAGGUCGGAGUUACUAUUCACAUAUACGACACUAUUCACGUAUACGACACUAUUCACAGAAAAAUUAAAUUUUCUUUUCUGUGUCCAAGAUUGUCUGUUAUGAUUCCUAUCUUUGAUUGGAUCUAUGUUUUGAUCUUCAUUCUUGAAUUUUACUCCAAUCUGGUUAUUUAUGAAGUAUUUUUGAACU
rnacentral:lncRNA from 1 species